UACGGAGGGUGCAAGCGUUAUCCGGAUUCACUGGGUUUAAAGGGUGCGUAGGCGGGUCUUUAAGUCAGGGGUGAAAUCCUGGAGCUCAACUCCAGAACUGCCUUUGAUACUGAGAGCCUUGAGUCCGGAAGAGGUAAGUGGAACUGCGAGUGUAGAGGUGAAAUUCGUAGAUAUUCGCAAGAACACCAGUGGCGAAGGCGGCUUACUGGUCCGGUACUGACGCUGAGGUGCGAAAGCGUGGGGAGCAAACAGG
rnacentral:rRNA from 1 species